AACGCGAAGAACCUUACCUGGGCUUGAACUGCACUUGACAAAGGUAGAAAUAUCUCUCCCGCAAGGGCAAGUGUAGAGGUGCUGCAUGGCUGUCGUCAGCUCGUGCCGUGAGGUGUUGGGUUAAGUCCCGCAACGAGCGCAACCCUUACCCUUAGUUGCCACCCGCAAGGGGGAACUCUAAGGGGACUGCUCCGGAUAACGGAGAGGAAGGUGGGGAUGAGGUCAAGUCAGCAUGGCCUUUAUGUCCAGGGCUACACACGUGUUACAAUGCAUGGUACAGACCGUUGCAAACCCGCGAGGGGGAGCUAACCGGAAAAAGCCGGCCUCAGUUCGGAUUGUAGUCUGCAACUCGACUACAUGAAGCUGGAAUCGCUAGUAAUCGCGGAUCAGAACGCCGCGGUGAAUACGUUCCCGGGCCUUGUACACACCGAGACGUA
rnacentral:rRNA from 1 species